GAGCCCCCCCUGGGGGACCCCAGCGCCUGGCAGGAAGGGUGGCUUACAGCCUGUCUGCACCUCUAGCUCAUGUUCUGACUGCGGAUGGGCCACGGCAGAGCCGGACUCAUUUCGGCGGGUUUGUUAUUUCCAAAACACGCAAGUUUCAUUGCCCCGGCCGGUGUGGCUCAGUGGAUAGAGCAUCAGCCUGGGGACUGAAGGGGCCCGGGUUCGAUUCCGGUCGGGGCCACAGGCCAGGGUUGUGGGCUCGAUCCCUGUGGGGGGCGUGCGGGAGGCAGCCGAUCCAUGGUUCUCUCCCGUCACUGAUGUUUCUAUCCCUCCCUCUCCCUUCCCCUCUGAAAUCAAUAAAAAUACAUGUUUUUUAAUCUUUAAGAA